GAUGAACGCUGGCGGCGUGCCUAAUACAUGCAAGUCGAGCGAACGGACGAGAAGCUUGCUCGUCUGAUGUUAUAGGCGGACGGGAGCGUAACAUGUGGAUAACCUACCUAUAAGACUGGGAUAACUACGGGAAACCGUAGCUAAUACCGGAUAAUAUUUUGCACCGCAUUGUUCACAAGUUAAAGUCGGUCUUGCUGUCAGUUAUAGCUGGAUCCGCGCUGCAUUAGCUAGUUGGUAAGGUAACGGCUUACCAAGGCAACGAUGCAUAGCCGACCCGAGAGGGAGAUUGCACAGCCGGGCACAGAGACAGGUCAGCGACUCUUACGGUGGGAAGCAGUAGGGAAUCCUACGCGAGGGGGGAAUGGCUGACGGUGCACAGUGGCGUGAAUGAUGAAGGUCUUCUGAUCGUAAAACGAUGUUAUUCGUGGAGAACAAAUGCGUAAGUAACCGUGCAGAUCAUGACGGUACCGGGUCAGAAAGCCACGGCUAACUACGUG
rnacentral:rRNA from 1 species